CACUGGAACACGAAGCUGAAGAAGAGGCUGGUGAAAAUGGGGAUAGAUCCUGUGACUCACAAACCUGUUUCUCAGGUCCUUACGGAAUUCAGAAACAUUAGUGGCCAUGGAAACUCAUCCGAACCUUUUGUCAGAAACUUCAAAACAGAACCAUCUAACAACUCUAUACUCACACAAUCCAACUCAGCUUGGGAAAUGAUGAGGAACACAACAAGCCAUGAGAGCUAUCACAAUUCUCCUAUGAUCUUUACUCAUCCCACUGCAUCUGAAUUCCAUUUCUCUAACCAUUCAAACUUUCCACUCAAUGGAGCCACGUCUUCAUGUUCUUCCUCGUCUUCUUCUGCUAGUAUCACGCAGCCAAACCAAGGGGCUCAAGCACCGGUUACUACAUUCUGCUGGAGUGAUUACCUUCUCUCGGAUCCGGUUUUACCUCUUAGCUCUCAGACACAAGUAGUGGGAUCCUCAGCUACUAGCAACCUCACUUUCGCGCAGAACGAAAACUUCAACGGCCAAGGAGAAUGCAGCUCUCAGAAGAUUGCUUCCAAGGCCUCUGGAACAUGUCACUCCGCGAGCUCAUUUGUGGAUGAAAUAUUGGAUAAGGACCAAGAAAUGCUGUCACAGUUUCCCCAACUCUUGAAUGAUUUCGACUAUUAGAUCCUUCCUUAUGCUAUUGUUGUUGUUGUUACUGCUUCUCUUGUAGCUUAAAUUCGAUGUUUUAUGAUGUUUCAAGAACUACUUUCAUCUAGUUUUUCAAUAAGUUAUAUUAUCUCUUCUCUUUAUCCAAGUUUCUUGGGAUUCACUUAUGUAACAGUCUCUAAACAUACAGAGCUCAAAUAAGUUUACCUCUUUUAUAGAGAAAUAGACCCUCUGGCUAAGGAAGAGGGUCUUAGUUUAUUCCUAUCCUUCGUGCUAAGCUCUUUUAACAGUCUCGCGAGCUUCAAAGUCGAAACCUUUAGAGCUAUGGCGGUCGUGUUAUCUUCUAGCAUAGUCUCUCCACUUGGAAUCAACAUCGAUAUGAGUAAGAAUCUGGGUGUAAAGUACUCUUCUUUCCCCAAAGUUCACCUCUUUGGUAAAUUAUAAAGACGAGUCAUAAUUCGAGCAUCAGAUAGAUUUAAUUAAAAUAUUGAAAUUAUCCGAAGGUAGCAACAACGAUCCAUCCAUAGAAUCCCACAUUAAAAACAAAAAAUAAAAAGCUGUUUAGAUCUUAAAAGAUCAGAUCCUCAAUCAAAGAGACUCAUCAUGCCUUCACCAUCAUCCGACUCCUCUUUCUCUUCCUCAACCUUCUUAGAUUCCGCCGCUGGCUCAGCCGCGGAAGGAGCGUCGCCUCCUGCUCCAGCCACCAUAGCAACAGCUGCACCACCGGAAGAUAGAGCCCCCAUCUUCUCCCUCCCAGCCGCGAUCAGCUCCGUCACGUCGUGAUCCUUCACCAGAGAAAAGAACAGAUCCGUCUUCGUCUCGUCGAACUCAGCUCCAACGGAAUCGAAGAUGUUUUUCAGAUCACCUUUGGUUGGGUUCUCGUUUCCGGCGAGUUUCGCGAGGAGAAAAGCAGCGAUAACCUUCAUCGUUCCUCUUCUUCUUCUUCUUCUCUGCACGAACGGUGAAAAACAAAGCGUGUUACUGCUAGGGCAAAGCUGUGUAUUUAUAAGAAGUGUCUUCCCCAUAAUGAGGAGGGUUAGGGUUUUUCGGACGUACGUUACACGAAAGAAAGCCGUUAAUGGGCCCAUGCUGUUAAUGAACUUUAAUGUAAGCCCACUAAUAUUGGAACCAACUUACAAAACUUUUCUUUUCCGGUAAAGUAAUUUCACUGAAAUUAAAACGAGUUUACAACAUCAUUACAUAAACUCCGAAAAUCAAUUAUUACAUAAGCAACAUAUAUUACAAAACGAUAAAAACCAAAAAAAAAAAGAAUUUAACAAUGAUUUCUUUAAAAUUUUUAUUCGCUAAUGAAUUAUUUAGUCAUUUUUGAUGAUCGAAAUAUUGUAAAAGUGAAUUUUUCUUUUUAGAAACUUCAAUUUCACAGAACCCAUUUACAUUUCGUCAACAGUUUGAUGCCAAUUAGUCUUUACCAAUGUCAUCCAAAAUAAUAACUACUUCCAUCGUUUGUAUUCGAUCAUUUUACAAAGAUAGAUUUUCUAUUAUUUUCACAUUUAUUAAAAAAACUCAUUAAAUCACUAUAAUGAAUGUUGUUGUUUGUAAUUUUCAAAUUUUAAUAACUUUUAACCAAUAAUAAUUUAAUAAACUUAAUUAAUUUUAUUGAAGUUUACAAAUUUUUUUUAUAGAAAAUAGAACAUUUAUCUUUGUGAAACAAUUUUUUUUCUAAAACAUGUAUCUUAGUGAAACGGAUGGAAUAUCAUUUUUUCGUAUUACACAAAAAUUGUCACUUCAAAAUUUCAAUCAAAAUUAUAUUACUUACAACUAAAAAUUAAUUGUAAAUUGCAUUAAUUUUAUAAAUAAUUUUAUUUAUCUCAAAUAUUAUUGUUCAAAAUAUGUGUAAUUAAUAACAACUUAAACACAUUCUAAUAAUUUUCUUAAUCUAUGUAAAAAAUAUCAAACUUACACUUAGUAAUUAAUAAUCUCCAGAUCUCAAAUAAACAUUAACCCAUCAUAAAUUUGAUAUUUGACAACUUACAAAACUUUAUUUUAUUUAUGGUCAACAAUUUCUUAAAAUUAAGUGCUGUCUCGUAAGAAAGAGUUAACGAAAAUCUAGUCAAAGGGGAAUUAAAAAGGAAGGCAGGAAAUUACAGUUGGCGCUCCCUCACUCGCUUACCGUCAUUAAAUACUUUUAAAAAGGGGAUGAAAUUGUAAGAUCUCAAAACUACAGGGACAAAUUAAGAAGAAGAAUAUAGUUGAGGGGGUAAGAAUUGAGAAGAAUACAAAUUUGUUACUAAACGUCUGGUCUUCGCCUCCAAAAAGAAAAGUCUUCUCUUUUCUCAGCAGGGAAGGGAAAAAAUGGAUUCUCGAAAUUUUCUCGCGUUUUCGCUAAGUCUUAUCCUGAUUUUCCCUCCAAUUUCGUCUGCUUCCAUCAGAUUCAUCCCUCGAUGGAGUAGUAGUAGUAAUAGGUAAGGUUGUCUCUCUCUCUCUCUAACGAUGAAUGAUGUUCUUUCGCAUUGGUUUGACUGAUAAAUAUUUGUUUUUUUUUUCUUUCUUUUAAUUGGUUGGGUGGGCAGAGAAGGGGCAGUGAUUAAGCAGAAGACGAGUGCUUCGUCUCUAGUUAUUGAUCCAACUCGUGUCACUCAGCUCUCUUGGACUCCUAGGUUUCGUUUGUUGCUUUUGCUUUAAAAAGUCUGAAUUUUUAUUGUUUUGAUUACAAAAGUAUGUGAUGGUUUCUGCAGGGUGUUUUUGUACAAGGGACUUUUAACAGAUGAGGAAUGUGAUCAUUUCAUCAACUUGGUACUAUCAAUCAAAUCAUCUUCUUGAUUAUUUUUGUUUGUUUGUUUGAGGACUUAGUGAUGAUCAUGGAACGUUAUGAGACUUUGUGUUUUAGGCGAAAGGGAAGCUUGAGAAGUCAAUGGUUGCGGAUAAUGAUUCAGGUAAGAGCGUGGAGAGUGAAGUGCGCACAAGCUCUGGAAUGUUUCUUUCCAAAAGACAGGUGAGAGCUUCAGUUUCUAUUACUCAUAACAUGUGUGAAUCAGUAAGGAAAACAUGUUGGCUCUUGUAAAGGUUUUGAAUGAUCUGUUGUGGUUUUAAAUCUGGUUCCGUUUGUAUGUUUUGUUUUGUGCAAUCAGUUGAAUUUUAUUAUCAUGUGUUUUCUGAGGUCUAAUCUUGCUUUUGUUUCUAUUUGACUAGCUUAACUUCACCAAAUAAACAGAUUAGUUCUCUGUUAUUAAUACCACCAAGUAACACUAUCUAGGAUGGUCUUCUUCUGUGGUUAGAAAAAGUAGCUUGAAUGCUAAUCUGGUUAUUCUAAAGGUUUUCUGUGAUUCACUGAUUGUUUGACCCUUGAGCUUGAAAGCAUGAAUGGUAAAGAUUCUGUGUCGGUGCAGGAUGAUAUAGUAGCUAAUGUCGAGGCUAAACUUGCUGCAUGGACUUUUCUUCCCGAGGGUAUUGUUUGAGGCAUAUGUAUACUUUUCUUACUUUAUCUUUAGUAGCAGAAAAAACACUCAUCUCUUCUUUUUUUUUUUACCUGUGUUGUCUAUCAGAAAAUGGAGAAUCAAUGCAAAUACUGCACUACGAGAACGGUCAAAAAUAUGAACCGCAUUUUGACUUCUUUCACGACCAAGUAAACCAACAGCUUGGUGGUCAUCGGAUCGCCACCGUAUUGAUGUACUUGUCCAACGUCAAAAAAGGUGGAGAAACAGUGUUUCCCAUGUGGAAGGUAAUAACGACAUAUGUAUCACAUGAUUUAGAUUUCAUUUCUUGAGUGGCCUCAUUUGAACACUGUUCAUUCAUUCUUAAAGGGAGCAACAGCUCAACCCAAAGACGAUAGCUGGACCCAAUGUGCCAAACAAGGUUAUGCAGGUAGAGAAACACAUACAUGUGUACUUUAUGUAUUCUUCAACAUGCGUUUGCUUUAAGUAUGAUUCUAUCUUUCCAAAUGGUAUAUUGCACAAUCUGAGAGUGUGUGUCUUUGCAGUGAAACCGAUGAAAGGGGACGCAUUGCUAUUCUUUAACCUUCAUCCGAAUGCAACAACAGAUCCGAGCAGCUUACAUGGAAGCUGUCCAGUGGUUGAGGGAGAGAAAUGGUCAGCUACCAGAUGGAUUCAUGUGAAGUCGUUCGAAAGACCGGUGUCCAGGACAACUGGGUGUGUGGACGAGAACGAGAGCUGCGAGAAAUGGGCAAAGGCAGGGGAAUGUAAGAAGAAUCCAGUCUACAUGGUGGGUUCAGAAACAGACCAGGGAUAUUGCAGAAAGAGCUGCAAAGCUUGCUCAUCUUAAGAACCAAGUAACAAUCAAAGCUCUUAUUAAAAAAGGAUUGAAAAUUUUUGUGUGUAGAGAAAAAACCUUUGGUCUAUAUAAGCAAAAAUGUUUGAACACAUACUAAAAAGAAUAAUAAUAAGCUUCUCUGGUUUCAUGUUUAGUUUAUUUGUAGCAUCAACCUCAAGCAAGGAAUACAUGAUAACUGAUUAUGUAUUAAUAAUAUACGUGAUGUAGUGUACAUGAGAUGAUAGUUGUCUAAACUACGUCAUGCACAUAGAGACUCUUAUAUUUCUAAUGAAGUGUAACAAUCAUGCAAUUACCGUUAACUAGGAGCCUUCAAGCAUGAGAUCCUCACCUUUUAUUUCUCUCUCUCUAGACAAGUCUCAGAGCUUUUGCAUUGCAUCAUUCUAUUUCCAUAAAGCCUUUCUUGUGGUACUUCCACACAGCAUCUUCUCCUUCUCUCCUGUCUCUGAAUAACCCACAAAAAAUGGGAAGGCCUCCAUGUUGUGACAAAUCAAAUGUCAAGAAAGGUCUAUGGACUGCAGAAGAAGACGCUAAGAUCCUCGCUUAUGUUGCAAUCCAUGGUGUAGGAAACUGGAGUUUGAUCCCCAAGAAAGCAGGUCUUGUUCAUAAGCUUCUUCUUUCAUUUUAAGAACUCUUCAAUGUACAAGUCUGAGUUUAUUUAUUUUUAUUUUGGGUGCAGGUCUGAAUCGAUGUGGAAAGAGCUGUAGAUUGAGAUGGACUAAUUACUUAAGACCUGACCUUAAACAUGACAGCUUCUCUCCCCAAGAAGAAGAGCUUAUCAUUCAGUGUCACAGAAUCAUUGGCAGCAGGUUACCUAAUUGCUAACUAACUUUUUAACAAUGACAAAAAAUCUAUCAAACUCUACUAAUAAUAAUAAUCUCUGAUGCUCUCAGGUGGUCUUCGAUUGCGCGAAAGCUUCCAGGAAGAACAGACAACGAUGUGAAAAACCACUGGAACACGAAGCUGAAGAAGAGGCUGGUGAAAAUGGGGAUAGAUCCUGUGACUCACAAACCUGUUUCUCAGGUCCUUACGGAAUUCAGAAACAUUAGUGGCCAUGGAAACUCAUCCGAACCUUUUGUCAGAAACUUCAAAACAGAACCAUCUAACAACUCUAUACUCACACAAUCCAACUCAGCUUGGGAAAUGAUGAGGAACACAACAAGCCAUGAGAGCUAUCACAAUUCUC
rnacentral:lncRNA from 1 species